rnacentral:rRNA from 1 species
UAACGAAUCUUCCCCAAUGCACGCAAGUGUGAGGGAGCGACGCCGCGUGGAGGACGAAGUUCUUCGGAAUGUAAACUCCUGUCAGGGGUUAGAAAGUUCUGAUCAACCCCAGAGGAAGAGGCGGCUAACUCUGUGCCAGCAGCCGCGGUAAUACAGAGGCCUCAAGCGUUAGGCGGAAUCACUGGGCUUAAAGCGUGUGUAGGCGGAUGCCUAAGUGCCUUGUGAAAUCCCACGGCUCAACCGUGGAGCUGCAGGGCAUACUGGGUGUCUUGAGCCAUCCAGGGGUCGCUGGAACAAACGGUGGAGCGGUGAAAUGCGUAGAUAUCGUUUGGAACGCCAAAGGUGAAGACAGGCGACGUGGGGAUGUGCUGACGCUGAGACACGAAAGCCAGGGGAGACAAACGGGAUUAGAUACCCCGGUAGUCCUGGCCCUAAACGAUGUCCACUAGAUUAUGG